rnacentral:rRNA from 1 species
UACGUAGGGUGCAAGCGUUGUCCGGAAUUAUUGGGCGUAAAGAGCUCGUAGGCGGCUUGUCACGUCGGAUGUGAAAGCCCGGGGCUUAACUCCGGGUCUGCAUUCGAUACGGGCUAGCUAGAGUGUGGUAGGGGAGAUCGGAAUUCCUGGUGCAGCGGUGAAAUGCGCAGAUAUCAGGAGGAACACCGGUGGCGAAGGCGGAUCUCUGGGCCAUUACUGACGCUGAGGAGCGAAAGCGUGGGGAGCGAACAGG